GAAGGUAUAGCCCAGUGGUAGAAUGUGUGCUUAGCAUGCACGAGGUCCUGGGUUAAAUCUCCAGUGCCUCCA
rnacentral:tRNA from 1 species